UCCGGCGCUGUGAGGCGGCUCCAUGGCGGGCGCGGAGCGCGGCCUGCGGGGGCUCCGCGGGCUCGGCCCGGGGGACACCGACACGGGCCCCGGUCCGAGCUGCCCCUGGCACGGAGCCGCGCUGCGCCGCUCGGCCUCCCGCUGGACCGGGCUGCGCUGCCCCGAGCGGCCCGGCCGGGGCAUGGCCCGCGGGCUCGGCCUGUCCCCCGYGGCCCCCGGGCCCCCCUCGCCCCCCGGGCCCCCUUCGCCACGGGCCGAGGAGGAGGAUGAGGAAAGAGUGUCRCUGGCCGAGCUGUCAUUGAUGAACAAGUUGAUCCACACAUCCCUGGUGGAGUCCCAGCAGCAAGUGGAGAUCCUGCAGCGGGACCCCAACUCCCCACUCUUUUCCAUCAAGACCUUCGAGGAGCUGCCCCUGAAGAAGGAGCUGUUGCAGGGGGUUUAUAUGAUGGGCUACAACAGACCAUCCAAAAUCCAGGAGCAGGCUCUGCCACUCAUGCUGGCAUACCCGCCCCAAAAUCUGAUUGCCCAGAGCCAGUCAGGGACAGGGAAAACAGCAGCUUUUGUCUUGGCCAUGUUGAGCAGAGCCAAUGCCAGCGAGAAAUACCCGCAGUGUCUCUGCCUGGCUCCCACCUACGAGCUGGCUCUGCAGAUYGGCCAGGUGGUGCGGGCCAUUGGGAUGUUCUGCACUGACAUCAGGGUGAACUACGCUGUCCGGGGAAACCGAGUUCUGAAGGGCAUGGUGCUGGAGGAGCAGAUCAUCAUCGGAACRCCAGGCACCACACUGGACUGGUGCUUCAAACAACGCAUCCUGGACCUGAGCAAGAUCUCCUUGUUCGUGCUGGAUGAGGCUGACAUCAUGAUCGACACGCAGGGCCUCUCCUGUCAGAGCAUCCGCAUCCACAGGGCUCUUCCCAAGAGCUGCCAAGUGCUGCUGUUCUCAGCCACUUUCAAGGAGCCCGUGCGGGCCUUUGCGGAGCGGAUCAUCCCCGACCCCAUUGUGAUCAAGCUGCGUGAGGAGGAGCUCACCCUGGGCAACAUCAGGCAGUACUUCAUGGUGUGCCAGAGCUCAGAUGAGCAGUACAGGGCCCUCUGCAACCUCUACUGCAGCUUUACCAUCGGUCAGGUCAUGAUCUUCUGCCAGACCCGGAGGCUCGCAGACUGGCUGUCGGGRAAGAUGAGCCGGGACGGGCACCAAGUGGCCAUCCUGACAGCUGAGCUGACAGUGGUGCAGCGAGCCAGUGUCAUCCAGCGCUUCCGUGAGGGCAAGGAGAAGGUUCUCAUAGCCACCAACGUCUGUGCCAGAGGGAUUGAUGUGCAGCAGGUCACCACCGUGGUGAACUUUGGCCUCCCCGUGGAUCAGGAUGGCCAGCCGGAUUUUGAGACCUACCUGCACCGCAUCGGGAGGGCGGGACGCUUCGGGCACCGCGGCAUCGCCUUCAGCGUGGUGCAGAGAGAGACCGUGGCACUUGUGCACAAGAUUGAGAACUAUUUCCGUGAGUAUCCGCAGGGAUCCCCUGCUCCACGAGGUGGGGUUGGUGCUGUAAUCCCCCUCCAGCUCAUUUCCUGUUCGCACAUGGACCUUGUCGGGCUGCUCCUCUCCCCAGGGCUCAUCCCACUGGGAACAGGUGACAGAUGCAGCUUUUCCGGUGGUUUUUGCUCCCCAGCAGRCAAAUUUCUCAAGAAACAGCCCUGGAGGUUGUGUGCAGCUUGCAAGGGAUUGUUACCAGUACCAGGAUGCCUCAGCAUCUUCUUUUUUUCCCUCCUUUAGGCAUUUUUUUCUGCCUUUCCUUUUAAGCCCUUGUUCCAGGGGACCUGGUGCCCUGGCUCAGCUCAGCCCUAGCUGUGGGAGAGGAGAUGGCAGCUGUGGAAAUCUUUCCUGAGUGAAAAUUGUUACUUGUUAACAUCAAGAGGAUUUUCAUGGGAUUUGCCAGAUGUCAUGGCUGCACCAGUGGCUUUUUGAACCCCAGUGCCUUUUCCCUGUGAUUUUGAGAGGAAAGAAGGUCAUAGAAACCUUCUGAUGGGCAGGAAAUGGUGUCCCUUCCUCAGCUCCGGCCUCAGAGCCGCUCAGCCCUCUUGGUUCCUUUAAAUGCCCACUUGUCCUGGGAACCUGGAGUGAGCCUGAGGCAGACACCAAGCAGAGAAGACACGAGCCACAUAGUCUGGCAAAGAUUGUUGCGUGCAGUAGAAGCAAUGAGCAGCUGGAACAGCUGGCAUUGGGGUGAGUCCAGMCACUGCCAUGGCCAGGAGGAGCCACUGUGAGGAUGAACUGACUUUUCCCGUGGUGAUGUUGCAAUUUGAGGAUACAAACCUUCCCUGGCUGCAUGGCUGUGGAGAGACCACAAUCAAGCAGGUGGAUCCAUAUGACAUUGAGGAGCUGGAGAGGCUUGCAG